CCUACGGGAGGCAGCAGCAGGGAAUCUUGCGCAAUGGGCGAAAGCCUGACGCAGCGACACCGCGUGGGGGAUGAAGGCUUUAGGGUCGUAAACCCCUUUUCCCGGGGAAGAAACUGACGGUACCCGGGGAAUAAGUCUCGGCCAACUACGUGCCAGCAGCCGCGGUAAGACGUAGGAGGCAAGCGUUGCCCGGAUUUAUUGGGCGUAAAGAGGGCGCGGGCGGCUCGUUAAGUCCGGAGUGAAAGCCUUCAGCUCAACUGAAGGUGGUCUUCGGAAACUGGCGAGCUCGAGGGCAGCAGAGGGAGGGGGAAUUCCCGGAGUAGCGGUAAAAUGCGUAG
rnacentral:rRNA from 1 species